GCUCUGGUGGCCUAGUGGUUAGAGUGUCCGCUUCGAAUGCAGGAGGUUGCGGGUUCUAACCCCGGCUGAAUCA